AGACCGAUAGCGAACAAGUAGAGUGAUCGAAAGAUGAAAAGCACUUUGGAAAGAGAGUUAAACAGUACGUGAAAUUGUUGAAAGGGAAGCGCUUGCAACCAGACUUGCGCGCGGCCGAUCAUCCGGUGUUCUCACCGGUGCACUCGGCCGUGCUCAGGCCAGCAUCGGUUUUGGCGGCUGGAUAAAGGCCCUAGGAAUGUAGCUCCUCUCGGGGAGUGUUAUAGCCUAGGGUGCAAUGCAGCCUGCUGGGACCGAGGACCGCGCUUCGGCUAGGAUGCUGGCGUAAUGGUUGUAAGCGGCCCGUCUUGAAACACGGACCAAG
rnacentral:rRNA from 2 species